rnacentral:rRNA from 1 species
UACGUAGGGCCCGAGCGUUGUCCGGAUUCAUUGGGCGUACAGAGCUUGUAGGCGGUUUGUCGCGUCUGCUGUGAAAAUCCGGGGCUCAACCCCGGACUUGCAGUGGGUACGGGCAGACUAGAGUGUGGUAGGGGAGACUGGAAUUCCUGGUGUAGCGGUGAAAUGCGCAGAUAUCAGGAGGAACACCGAUGGCGAAGGCAGGUCUCUGGGCCACUACUGACGCUGAGAAGCGAAAGCGUGGGGAGCAAACAGG